GAAAAAAAAAAAAACAAAGAUAAUUACAAUAAAGCGACAGGUCCUUACAAAAGGGAAAUGAAGAAUAAGGCCACAUAAACAUUGCUUGUGUAUAUAUAGUACACAGACAACAUCCGAAUCUCUGAUUUGAGUGCAGCAAUCCCUACGCUGCCCUACAUACCCUGCUGUGAGCAACCUGUAUCCAGCUUAUGCUCUGCCGUAGGGGCCGCCUGACUCUGCAGAAGAGUAAACUGACUCCUCCAGAAUUCCGACUGCAGAUAACAUGAUGAUGACCACCUGGAAUUUUCUCCACUUCCCAGGUCAUGGUUACCUGGACGGUAGUGAAGUGGAUGGAAAUGAUGAAACUCUAUGUCCUUUAGACUUUUUUAAGCGAAGGAAUGAUUGUGGAUGAUGAAUCAAGCAAACAAUCGUUGAGAGUGAGACCAGUCCCUUAUGGUGUUGAGCUCUAGUGCAAUAAUUGACUGUUGCCAUAGUGGAGCUGUUACCCUUCCUUUGCAGGAUGAGCAGGUAAUCCAUA
rnacentral:misc_RNA from 1 species